GAGAAGAACGCAGCGAAAUGCGAUAAGUAAUGUGAAUUGCAGAAUUCAGUGAAUCAUCGAAUCUUUGAACGCACAUUGCGCCCGCUGGUAUUCCGGCGGGCAUGCCUGUUCGAGCGUCAUUUCAACCCUCAAGCUCUCCGGAGUUUGGUGUUGGGGCGCCUGGGGCUUUUCGACCUCAGGGCCCUCAAGUCCAUCGGCGGGACCGCCAGGACACUGAGCGCAGUAGUAUUAUUUCGCUCGGUAGGAUCUUCCACGGCGGGUCGAUCUGGCCGCUAAACCCCCCAAUUCUCACCAAAGGUUGACCUCGGAUCAGGUAGGAAUACCCGCUGAACUUAAGCAUAUCAAUAAGCGGAGGA
rnacentral:misc_RNA from 1 species